ensembl:lncRNA
GCACUGGCACCACUGGGCCCGGGCUGCCGUGGGGCUGACGGACUGCCGCGAGACUCGGAAGAGAAGGUUUCGGGGAGUCAGGUGGGCCCAGGACCACCAGCGGUGUCACGGGGUCCCCAGUUUCUCAGCUGGAGGCCCCAGGGGGCUCUUGUUGAGUCCAGAGAGGAACACGCCUGCUACCUGGUGCCCGCCAGCUCACGGACUGCCGGGGGACAACAAGGGCCUGACCUGCUGAGCCUGGGCCACCGCCCGCAGAAAGGGGCUGACGACUAGGUUAUCAGAGAAGAGUCACUGGCGGAAACCACUGGCUUGCUUCUGCACCAGGGAUGGCCUCCAGAGAACCGGGCUCAAGAGGGUGCUCUCACUGAAAGGAGCUGCACGCGGGCCCCAGGAUUGACCGAGUUGACCUCCUUGCUGUCCAAAGGACUCUCAAGACUCUUCUCCAGCACCACAGUUCAAAAGCAUCAGUUCUUCAGCCCUCGGCCUUCUUCAUGGUCCAGCUCUCGCAUCUGUCCGUGCGUGACAGUGAAACUCAAGGUGAAUCCGUGACCUAAACGUAACCAGGGGCGCCCCUGUGCUGCCACAGGGGCCGUGGUGGAAGCGGAAGCCCGG